UAUAUCAGAAAAUAUAUGGUUCGAUUAUGGUUCGUGAUUUUCGAAUGCUUAUGACGUUUUUACAUGCAGUCGAAUGGUACGACUUUGCCCGGUAAGGAGUGGCGAACGGUGAGUAAUGUAUCGGAACGUGCCCAGUAGCGGGGAUAACUACGAAAGCUGCAGCUAAUGCGCCGCCCCCGUGAAAGGGGGACUGCCUUAACAUAGAGUGUCGAUAUCGAUUAGCAGUUGCGGGGCACGGGGCUCACUGGCGCGAUGAUCUGCAGCGCUUCAGAUAGACGACUGUUACACCGGGACCGACAUUGACGGCCCAGACUCCAUUUAUGCGGUGGGUACCCGGGACGGGGCGGCCCCGGACUGUUACCCCGCGGACAGGCGUCUCGUCAAAGCACUUUUUAAGGUGGGGCAGGGUCGCCGGGAUAUUACUCGCAAAAUUCGAUGGUAAUCCCGCAGAAUAAGUACGGCUAAAUUAUGUUACAGCCGCAGCACAUGGGGUGUUAAUGAAAUUACUAAGUAAGCAGCAGGCCCGGAAAGAGAUGCAGGGACCAUAUUUACCCCGGGAACCCAUGCACCACGAGCUGGAGGCCAGAGGGCAGGUGAAUGCAAAGGUGCGAAAUGCCGCAGAUAUGAGGAACACUGAUGGGCUAGGCAAGGUGCUCCCUCAGAUACGACUGACGCCUGCGCACGAAAGCGUGUAUAAACAGAUUUGUGAUCCUGUAGUCCACGCCCCAAACGAUGUCAAUUAGUUGUUGUGCUUUGGUUUUGGCAUAAAGCAAUGCGCAAAGCCGACGUUCGUAUAUGGUCGUGAUUAAAAUUCGUGCGAAUGACGUGACUGCACGAGCUAGUGGACGAUGGAUUAACUGAUGCAACGUGAAAAACCUUACCUACCCUUGACAUGUCUGAACCCGAAGAUUUGGGAGGCUCGCAAGAGAACCGAACACAGGUGCUGGCUGGUUGUCGUCACCGUGUCGUGAGAUGCUGUUGUCCCGCAAUGAGCGCAACCCUUGUCAUUAGUUACAUGAGCGGCACCUAAUGAGACUGCCGGUGAUAAAUCGGAGGAAGGUGGGGAUGACGUCAAGUCCCUCAUGGCCCUUAUGGGUAGGGCUUCACGUCAUACAAUGGUCGGGAUAGAGGGUCGCCAACCCGCGAGGGGAGCCAAUCCCAGAAACCCGAUCAGUCCGAUCGCAGUCUGCAACUGACUGCGUGAAGUCGGAAUCGCCAGUAAUCGCGGAUCAGCAUGUCGCAGUGAAUACGUUCCCGGGUUCUGUACACACUGCCCGUCACACCAUGGGAGGGUUUUACCAGAAGUAUUGUGCCCAAUCAAGGAGGCGAUUACCACGGCAGGAUCUGGCAGAUCGGGGUAGUCGUAAUAAGGUAG
rnacentral:rRNA from 1 species